CCUCUUCCUCCAACCUUUUAAUUUCAACUCCCGUGGGUCGAGUGUUGAACACUCGACCUAUGUGUUUUUAAACACCUCCCCUCCCCUUCUCAUAUCACAUUUCGUCUCUGUCUUUACCAUCUCAUUUUCAAAAUUCUCCCUUCUUCCUCCUUGCAGAUACUAAAUCCCUCUCCUCCCAUUUUUUAACUCACUGUUUUCCAUCCAUUUCUCUUCUUCUAUUGGUUUGAUACAAAUUGUUCUCACACUUCUCCCUUGAUCACAAACUAUACUGUUGUUGCCAGAUAACAAAUAACAGGAAAAAAGGGUGAAUGUUGUCCCUUUGAAGGAAAAAAAACAGAAUUACCGUCGAAUUUGGAGGGUUUCUAUUGAACAGUUUGACAGGAUGUCACUCAAGACUACAUUCAUUGGUAUAAUAAUAUCACACGGCACUACGUCACUCGUUCGGGAGCAAUUGUGGGUUAUUUGGUAAAUGAAUGAUUAUUAUCUAAUUGUCUUCAUACGUGCAUGGGGUCGUGGAGAGCAUAAUGAAUAUUUAUAUUAUAAAGUGCCUGCAGAGAUACCAUAGCAACAUCAAGAAGAUCCAGAGCAACCUCAAGUUCGAAGUCGACAACGAU